rnacentral:tRNA from 1 species
GGCUGGCUAGCUCAGCUGGUUAGAGCGUGGUGCUAAUAAUGCCAAGGUUGUGGAUUUAAGCCCCAUACUGGCCA